UACGUAGGUGACAAGCGUUGUCCGGAUUUACUGGGCGUAAGGAGCGCGCAGGCGGUCGAUCAAGUCGAGUGUGAAAGCCCCCGGCUCAACUGGGGAGGGUCACGCGAUACUGUUCGACUCGAAGGCAGGAGAGGGAAGCGGAAUUCCCGGUGUAGUGGUGAAAUUCGUAGAUAUUGGGAAGAACACCGGUGGCGAAGGCGGCGACCUGGUCCUUGACUGACGCUGAGGCGCGAAAGCGUGGGGAGCAAACAGG
rnacentral:rRNA from 1 species